AUUGAACGCUGGCGGCAAGCCUAACACAUGCAAGUCGAACGAGUGGCGGACUGGUGAGUAAUGUCUGAGAAACUGCCUGAUGGAGGGGGAUAACUACUGGAAACGUUAGCUAAUACCGCAUACCAUCGGAUGUUCCCAGAUGGGAUUAGCUAGUGGGUGGGGUAAAGGCUCACCUAGGCGCCGAUCCCUAGCUGGUCUGAGAGGAUGACCAGCCACACUGGAACUGAGACACGGGCCAGACUCCUACGGGAGGCAGCAGUGGGGAAGAGUGAACAAUGGGCGAAAGUCUGAUGCAGCCAUGCCGCGUGGAUGAAGAAGGCUUUCGGGUUGUAAAGUACUGUCAUCGGGGAGGCGUUACCCGAAGAAGAAGCACCGGCUAACUACGUGCCAGCCGCCGCGGUAAUAC
rnacentral:rRNA from 1 species